UACGGAGGAUGCAAGCGUUAUCCGGAAUGAUUGGGCGUAAAGCGUCCGCAGGUGGCUAUGUAAGUCUGCUGUUAAAGAGUGAGGCUCAACCUCAUAAAAGCAGUGGAAACUACAUGGCUAGAGUGCGUUCGGGGCAGAGGGAAUUCCUGGUGUAGCGGUGAAAUGCGUAGAGAUCAGGAAGAACACCGGUGGCGAAAGCGCUCUGCUAGGCCGCAACUGACACUGAGGGACGAAAGCUAGGGGAGCGAACGGG
rnacentral:rRNA from 1 species